rnacentral:rRNA from 1 species
GAAGGGUGCAAGCGUUACUCGGAAUUACUGGGCGUAAAGCGUGCGUAGGUGGUUCGUUAAGUCUGAUGUGAAAGCCCUGGGCUCAACCUGGGAAUGGCAUUGGAUACUGGCGACCUAGAGUGCGGUAGAGGGGUGUGGAAUUCCCGGUGUAGCAGUGAAAUGCGUAGAUAUCGGGAGGAACAUCUGUGGCGAAGGCGACACCCUGGACCAGCACUGACACUGAGGCACGAAAGCGUGGGGAGCAAACAGGAUUAGAUACCCUGGUAGUCCACGCCCUAAACGAUGCGAACUGGAAGUUGGGGACAACUUGGUCCUCAGUUUCGAAGCUAACGCGUUAAGUUCGCCGCCUGGGAAGUACGGUCGCAAGACUGAA